GGUCAAGUGAAGAAGCGCAUACGGUGGAUGCCUUGGCAGUCAGAGGCGAUGAAAGACGUGGUAGCCUGCGAAAAGCUUCGGGGAGUCGGCAAACAGACUUUGAUCCGGAGAUCUCUGAAUGGGGGAACCCACCUAGGAUAACCUAGGUAUCUUGUACUGAAUCCAUAGGUGCAAGAGGCGAACCAGGGGAACUGAAACAUCUAAGUACCCUGAGGAAAAGAAAUCAACCGAGAUUCCCUUAGUAGUGGCGAGCGAACGGGGAUUAGCCCUUAAGCUUCAUUGAUUUUAGCGGAACGCUCUGGAAAGUGCGGCCAUAGUGGGUGAUAGCCCCGUACGCGAAAGGAUCUUUGAAGUGAAAUCGAGUAGGACGGAGCACGAGAAACUUUGUCUGAACAUGGGGGGACCAUCCUCCAAGGCUAAAUACUACUGACUGACCGAUAGUGAACCAGUACCGUGAGGGAAAGGCGAAAAGAACCCCGGAGAGGGGAGUGAAAUAGAACCUGAAACCGUAUGCGUACAAGCAGUGGGAGCCUACUUGUUAGGUGACUGCGUACCUUUUGUAUAAUGGGUCAGCGACUUAUAUUCAGUGGCAAGCUUAACCGUAUAGGGUAGGCGUAGCGAAAGCGAGUCUUAAUAGGGCGUUUAGUCGCUGGGUAUAGACCCGAAACCGGGCGAUCUAUCCAUGAGCAGGUUGAAGGUUAGGUAACACUGACUGGAGGACCGAACCCACUCCCGUUGAAAAGGUAGGGGAUGACUUGUGGAUCGGAGUGAAAGGCUAAUCAAGCUCGGAGAUAGCUGGUUCUCCUCGAAAGCUAUUUAGGUAGCGCCUCAUGUAUCACUCUGGGGGGUAGAGCACUGUUUCGGCUAGGGGGUCAUCCCGACUUACCAAACCGAUGCAAACUCCGAAUACCCAGAAGUGCCGAGCAUGGGAGACACACGGCGGGUGCUAACGUCCGUCGUGAAAAGGGAAACAACCCAGACCGCCAGCUAAGGUCCCAAAGUUGUGGUUAAGUGGUAAACGAUGUGGGAAGGCUUAGACAGCUAGGAGGUUGGCUUAGAAGCAGCCAUCCUUUAAAGAAAGCGUAAUAGCUCACUAGUCGAGUCGGCCUGCGCGGAAGAUGUAACGGGGCUCAAACCACACACCGAAGCUGCGGGUGUCACGUAAGUGACGCGGUAGAGGAGCGUUCUGUAAGCCUGUGAAGGUGAGUUGAGAAGCUUGCUGGAGGUAUCAGAAGUGCGAAUGCUGACAUGAGUAACGACAAUGGGUGUGAAAAACACCCACGCCGAAAGACCAAGGGUUCCUGCGCAACGUUAAUCGACGCAGGGUUAGUCGGUUCCUAAGGCGAGGCUGAAAAGCGUAGUCGAUGGGAAACAGGUUAAUAUUCCUGUACUUCUGGUUACUGCGAUGGAGGGACGGAGAAGGCUAGGCCAGCUUGGCGUUGGUUGUCCAAGUUUAAGGUGGUAGGCUGAAAUCUUAGGUAAAUCCGGGGUUUCAAGGCCGAGAGCUGAUGACGAGUCGUCUUUUAGAUGACGAAGUGGUUGAUGCCAUGCUUCCAAGAAAAGCUUCUAAGCUUCAGGUAACCAGGAACCGUACCCCAAACCGACACAGGUGGUCGGGUAGAGAAUACCAAGGCGCUUGAGAGAACUCGGGUGAAGGAACUAGGCAAAAUGGCACCGUAACUUCGGGAGAAGGUGCGCCGGCUAGGGUGAAGGAUUUACUCCGUAAGCUCUGGCUGGUCGAAGAUACCAGGCCGCUGCGACUGUUUAUUAAAAACACAGCACUCUGCAAACACGAAAGUGGACGUAUAGGGUGUGACGCCUGCCCGGUGCCGGAAGGUUAAUUGAUGGGGUUAGCGCAAGCGAAGCUCUUGAUCGAAGCCCCGGUAAACGGCGGCCGUAACUAUAACGGUCCUAAGGUAGCGAAAUUCCUUGUCGGGUAAGUUCCGACCUGCACGAAUGGCGUAACGAUGGCGGCGCUGUCUCCACCCGAGACUCAGUGAAAUUGAAAUCGCUGUGAAGAUGCAGUGUAUCCGCGGCUAGACGGAAAGACCCCGUGAACCUUUACUGUAGCUUUGCACUGGACUUUGAGCCUGCUUGUGUAGGAUAGGUGGGAGGCUUUGAAGCGUGGACGCCAGUUCGCGUGGAGCCAUCCUUGAAAUACCACCCUGGCAUGCUUGAGGUUCUAACUCUGGUCCGU
rnacentral:rRNA from 1 species